GAUCAUGGCUCAGAUUGAACGCUGGCGGCAUGCCUUACACAUGCGAGUCGAACGGUAACAGGUCUUCGGACGCUGACGAGUGGCGAACGGGUGAGUAAUACAUCGGAACGUGCCCAGUCGUGGGGGAUAACUACUCGAAAGAGUAGCUAAUACCGCAUACGAUCUGAGGAUGAAAGCGGGGGACCUUCGGGCCUCGCGCGAUUGGAGCGGCCGAUGGCAGAUUAGGUAGUUGGUGGGAA
rnacentral:rRNA from 1 species